CCAGCUAAGUGCAGCUGGGAGGCUGAGGUCAGCCUGCUCCGGACAGGCCAGGUUUCUGUGGUUCUGAGUGACCAUCAGCUGACCUCAGACUUUCCAGCAGGCAAGCUGGCAGUCCAGCAGGCUACAGAUUACAGACUGGGUGCUCCCCCUGGGAUCUGUUCACAAAGGCCACACUCCAACCCAGAUACUUUAUCCUCAUGAGGUCCUGGGAGUUCGGAGCCAUUGGAAAGAAAGCCAGGCUGGCAGACUGGAAGCCAUGCUACUGUACACGCAGGCUUCAGGCUCCAAGGGGCUGACUUGAGACCCUGUUCUGAUGCUGGCAGUCCUGAGGUCUAAGUGCUGGGGAUGGAACCCAGACACGCCUGGCAAGCACUCUACAGGUAAGCCCCCACCCCAGCUAGAACUCCAUGCCUACCACACGGCCACCCGAUUCUCCCCUCUGUCCACCCCUAUGUAGAUGUAAUUCUAAACGGUCUUAUUAAAUAAAAAACACAGAGCC